rnacentral:lncRNA from 1 species
UGUUUGUCUCCCAAGUUACAGGUAAAUACAAAGGGAGAAAGACACUACAUCUACCGCAUACAAAACACGAACCUACAUACAUGUACACAUGUUCAACAACAACGAUUCAUUUUUACAUCUUUUGUCUUGCCUCUUGUUUUACUCCGAACAUGUUAUCAGCACGAUCUGCGCAGAGCGUUUCUAAGGCAUCGCGCUCCUCGAAUCCUCCCUCUGGUCGACGGAGCCGUGCGAGGCAGCAUGUCCCGGUGAGGCGGUGAUGGAUAUCAUCGUAGUUGGGCAGCAACUCCGGCGGUUCCAAUCUUCACUUACACGCUCCAAGAAAAUCCUUGCGCUGGAUUGAUUGGCCUCGAGAAAGAGAGAAAUCGAAGGCAGAAGAACUGAUUACUACAUGAACGCGGUGCUAAUUUCCGAUUUUACUUUUGCAAACAACAAAAGCUAUCGUCAGGAACUAGUACCUUUGGCAUUCAGGGCUCCCUAGCCUCCCGGCCCAGUCUCCAUCGCGCGAGAGGCUCUGGUUACAGGUUGUGGCAGCGGUGCCCAGCCUGCAACGGUGGCGAUGCCCACGACGCAGCCAUGACCUUCGGCCUCUGGGAGAGACGAAAGUGCACACAGCGAGGGCAGUGCUACCGGCCACUGGCGCGGCCCCGACGCGGCUCUGCACAGGUGCCUGCACAAGUGGAUGCGCCGCCUCCGUGCGCCGCGCCCCGCGCCNNNNN